rnacentral:lncRNA from 1 species
CAGCAACGUUCGCCACAUGAUUUCGGUUAGUUUAAUUAACAUCCACAGCGUGGGAAGAAUGCUACUCUACUCUACUCUACUAAUUAAUUGGUUGGGUUUGGGGUAAGCAGAGCACUACUACCAGUGCUAUCGCUGUGCAGACAGACAGUAAGCAUAUUACUAGCCAAAAACGCACAUGUUGCCCAUGCCUCUGUGUCUGUCUAUUCUAUCUUUAACAGUACUGUAUCUUUCUUUUUUGUCGAAAAAUGCUUUCUUCCCUUGUUUCUUGUUUCUUUUCUGCUCCACUUUUCAAUCCUCAUAGGCAAGAUCCACAUUGCUAGAACCAUGCAGCCUCACAUAGUCUUUAUUGUUAGUUGACUCGGUGAAAGACAGUUCAGAAUGUUCAAGGCCACCAUCAUUAGCGCCUUGAGUACACAUCUUGAUUGGACAACCUCAGCUGCAAAAAGCGCAAACGGGGAGAGGCGGAGAGCUAGACCAAUCUUGCUAUCAGCCAAGCAAGAUCAUGCAUGGAUGAGGGCGCUCCAGUCUUCUCUCUCAGUCGUCUUGACCACCUCUCAAGCAAAGGCACUGCUGCAGUGCAUCCUGCUCUUUCGGCUGCUCUCCUGCACUACUGCACUAGUACACAGAUGCUGAUGGGCCACAAGACACAGGACAGUGUUGCUGCUCCCUGCUGCUGAAGGCAUCCAGAGGCCCACGGAACAGCUGCCAUGGCAGUGCCUGCGUUGCAUGUGCAGUGCUGGUCUACCUUUUUGGUCCUGAUUAUCCUUGUUUGGUUUCCUCUUUUAAAGUUUAUCAUGCAUGAGUAUUUAGAAAUAUGCAUAGAGUACUAAUAAUACAACUGGAGGGUAGUUUGAGAGACGAAUCUUUUUAAGCUUAAUUAGUCCAUAAUUGGAUAAUAAUUGUCAAAUAAGACGAAACUGCUAUAGUACAUGUUAACCUUUAACACCCCAAAUCAAACACCUCCUUAGAGCAAGACUAAUAUAGCCAACUACUAGUUGUAAGGUUUUUUUUUGCAGAGCUCAUUCAUAUAGUGGUCAGCUCAUCACGAUUAAUAUAUGGUCCACUUGUCUCUCUCGUAAACUUAUUUGGUUCUGGUAAGCUUACAACGUUUCUACACUCUUCUUUUCUUUUCUUCAUUUUAGUGUUUAGCCGGCUCAGUGGCGGAGGGAAGGGGGGCGGAGGGGGGCUUGGCACCCCCAAGCUUCCCAUAACUCCCUUAAUACACCUCAUAGAUUAGAUGUUUAAUUAUCUAAUUAGCUAGUUAAUGAUAUUAUCUGUACUAAGAUUUUUAUUCUUAUUUUACAUUAAUCUCUAAUAGUUUCUUAUACAAAUAGAUAUUUCUAAUAUUUUCUUCAUAUCUUUUAUUUUUAUUAUUGCCUAUCAAACAUCGGUUUGUCUCCUACCACACACUCUAAUUAGCUAGUUAAUUGAAAAUCAGCGUUUUUCUUGUUUAAUCCUUCUGAAUUGAUCUCCAACAAUGGGAUCUAUAUUAUUUAGCAUUAGUCUUCCUAUUAUCUUUCUUAUCUCCUAUGUUUCUAUCAUUAUUCGUCUAAACCCUAAACAAUCAUUUAGCCCGUUGUACUCAACUUUUAAACACUAACAGUGGUAUGGUGUUUCUGUUUAACCUUCUAUUUAAAUGACCAUUUUUACCUGUUUAAGUAAUCGUUUUGUCUAAGACUAAUCGAUAUGUAACUGAUUGUUUGUCAUUUGAUGUUAGGAUCUAGUACUAAUUAAUUUUGCCCCCGUUUAACUACUUGUUUUUAUUGUGAUUCUUUUCUUGGGCAAAGAAAUAGAAUGAUCAAGUGAAGGUUAAAGGCCUGAGACUAGUUAAAUUUCUCUUUUUUUUUAUUUUUUCUACUUUUUUAUAUCGCAACGCAAACGUUUAUUUUGGUGCUAUGUACACAUUUGUUAUAUAAUAUUUUGAUACACAUGAUUGUUUUUUGUUUACACGGCCCCCCUAUGUUUAAAUUCUGGCUCCGCCCGUAAGCCGGCUUACAGCAUGUUAUUAUACUUACUCUUAGUGGGAGCAUGCAGUAAUUGUUGGCGUGGUCUGUGGAGCGGUAGUAUAUGUGAAAGACGUACAGUUCAAACAAAGAUUCUGUACACGAUGGAUGAGGCCUUUGUUUAGUUCUAAAUUUUUUUUUAGCGAAAUAAGCACUAUAACACUUUUAUUUGUAUUUGAUAAAUAUUGUCCAAAUAUAAACUAACUAGGCUCAAAAGAUUCGUAUCGCAAAUUACAGACAAAUUGUGUAAUUAGUUAUUAUUUUUAUCUAUAUUUGAUGCUCUAUGCAUGUGCCGUAAGAUUCGAUGCGACAAGAAAUCUAAAAAAAUUUAGAAUUUUUUAGAACUAAUAAACAAGGCCUGAGUUACAUUUGCAAGUCUAGCCUACUACGGCCUUGUUUACUUCCAAAAAAUUUUGCAAAAUAGGAAUAGUAGCAUUUUUGUUUGUAUUUGACAAAUAUUGUCCAAUUAUGCAUUAACUAGUCUCAAAAGAUUCGUCUCGUCAAUUUCGACCAAACUGUGCAAUUAGUUUUUAUUUUCAUCUAUAUUUAAUACUCCAUGCAUACAUCUAAAGAUUCGAUGUGACGGGGAAUCUCGAAAAUUUUGCAAAAUUUUUGGGGAACUAAACAAGGCCUACAUCUACGUACAUGCUACUACAUCCAAUUCAUUCUUUCCUUGGUCCUUUGAAAAAGACUACGGGCAGGCACUUCGUUUCAUGAUCCAUCGGCUUGCCUGUUGCUUCCUUGCCGGCAUGGCGUGCUGUACCUUCAAUUGACUUCAGUAUAUUCCUGUCUCUUAACAAACUACUAACAGCGUACUACGAGCUACCCAUUUGAAAACUCAAAGAGCAUGAAAUGGCAUUACUCGUGUAGUAUUUCAAAAUAUCCCCUCGAUCUCCUCUCGAUGAAACACGUACAGUAUGUAUGUUCUCGAAGAAGAAAAAGAAAAGAAACAGCCUGCUUAUUAGCCACUACCUAGAGUUGUGUUGCCCAGAAACAAUGGAGUAUAGAACUUGGAGCCGGUAAGGCUCCAUCAGUUGAGUUGAUAGCUUGCAAAUCAUGCUGUCAAGGCAGAUCGAUCCCCCCCACCACCAUGUUUUCUCACUUCCAUGUCAGAAAUACCACUAGCAAAAGUCGGAAAAGCCUUUUCUGCACUUUAUGCGCCACAUUUCACAAAGGGACAACUACCAUCAGAUCGAUGUAGUACAGUACACUGGCAAGCGUCAACAAUACACUACGGAGUAGUACGUACAUUGCAGCUUUGACGGCCUGCUCGGCUGCUCGUGCUCGUAAAGUUCUGCAAUUCCCAAGGCCAGAGUACAAUGGAACAAAAGCUUGCGAAAUGAUUGAACAGGCAGCCACAAACCACAGUUAUACGUAUAUGUCUCAAAAUUCUCAAUUAAUUUGAGCAAUUGGUUUCAGCAAUCAGCAUUUGAUGCUGUAGAUGUUGACAUCCUGACCAGUAACAGUA